GAUGAAGAACGCAGCGAAAUGCGAUAAGUAAUGCGAAUUGCAGAAUCCGUGAGUCAUCGAAUCUUUGAACACACAUUGCGCCCUUUGGUAUUCCGAAGGGCAUGCCUGUUCGAGCGUCAUUAUCACCACUCAAGCCCGGCUUGCUGUUGGUGGCAGCGCAGCCGGUCAACCGGCUACGCUCCACCCAAAGAUAAUGACGGCGUCUGCGAGGACUCCUGUACAUUGAGCUUUCGGGCACGUACAUGGCUAGAAGUCCAGGCGCCGGUCGACGUCCUCCGGGACACUUUUUACCAAGGUUGACCUCGGAUCAGGUAGGGAUACCCGCUGAACUUAAGCAUAUCAAUAAGCGGAGGA
rnacentral:misc_RNA from 1 species